GCAUCAAUGGGGUAGUGGUAACCUGGGUCGUUGCCAUUCGUCGAACGUGAAGUUUCGACCCGCCGGGGGUUCGAUUCCCUCUUGAUGCA
rnacentral:tRNA from 1 species